rnacentral:rRNA from 1 species
UCCUACGGGGGGCAGCAGUGGGGAAUAUUGGGCAAUGGGCGCAAGCCUGACCCAGCAACGCCGCGUGAAGGAAGAAGGCUUUCGGGUUGUAAACUUUUUUUCUCAGGGACGAAGAAAGUGACGGUACCUGAGGAAUAAGCCACGGCUAACUACGUGCCAGCAGCCGCGGUAAUACGUGGGGGGCAAGCGUUAUCCGGAUUUACUGGGUGUAAAGGGGGCGCAGACGGCGAUGCAAGCAAGGAGUGAAAGCACGGG